UAUCGGGAGUAGACAACAGGGAUUGCCCCAGUAACGGCGAGUGAAGCGGCAACAGCUCAAAUUUGAAAUCUGGCCCUCGGGUCCGAGUUGUAAUUUGCAGAGGAUGCUUCGGGCGAGGUGCCUUCCGAGUUCCCUGGAACGGGACGCCAUAGAGGGUGAGAGCCCCGUCUGGUUGGACACCGAGCCCGUGUGAAGCUCCUUCGAAGAGUCGAGUAGUUUGGGAAUGCUGCUCAAAAUGGGAGGUAUAUGUCUUCUAAAGCUAAAUAUUGGCCAGAGACCGAUAGCGCACAAGUAGAGUGAUCGAAAGAUGAAAAGCACUUUGAAAAGAGGGUUAAAAAGUACGUGAAAUUGUUGAAAGGGAAGCGCCCAUGACCAGACUUGGGCCCGGUGAAUCACCCGGCGUUCUCGCCGGUGCACUUUGCCGGGCACAGGCCAGCAUCAGUUUGGCGCGGGGGACAAAGGCUUCGGGAAUGUGGCUCCCUCGGGAGUGUUAUAGCCCGCUGCGCAAUACCCUGCGCCGGACUGAGGUACGCGCAUCGCAAGGAUGCUGGCGUAAUGGUCAUCAGCGACCCGUCUUGAAACACGGACCAAGGAGUCGUCUUCGUAUGCGAGUGUUCGGGUGUCAAACCCCUACGCGGAAUGAAAGUGAACGCAGGUGAGAGCUUCGGCGCAUCAUCGACCGAUCCUGAUGUUCUCGGAUGGAUUUGAGUAAGAGCAUACGGGGCCGGACCCGAAAGAAGGUGAACUAUGCCUGUAUAGGGUGAAGCCAGAGGAAACUCUGGUGGAAGCUCGCAGCGGUUCUGACGUGCGAAUCGAUCGUCAAAUAUGGGCAUGGGGGGCGAAAGACUAAUCGAACCUUCUAGUAGCUGGUUUCCGCCGAAU
rnacentral:rRNA from 1 species